ensembl:lncRNA
CCCCUAUACUGGACUUCACUUGUUCAUCAGCCACCACCACGCCCCCUGAUUACUGAAACUGCACGGGGACAAACUACAGUUGCUGGUUCAACAGGAGGGAAACAUUUAUGAGACACCUGAGAUACUUGGAAGAUCCGGACUCCAGCAGAAAUUUGCACAAAUGAACACACCCAUCAACAAGCUUUUCUCAAGAACAUUGUGAAGUGCCCAUAAGACCUUGGGACGACGGCUGCUGAUUGGUGCCCAUCUGGUUGCUGAAGCAGACAGACGGCCCAGGGACCCGUCUGUGCCAUUGCUGGUUUCUCUUUCUUCUGGACCUAAGGACAGGAGAUGAGGAAAGGGACAAAUGCCCUUUGUAUCUUAAAGUGCUGGAGUUAAUCAAGAAGAAAGUGCUUCAGAAAGUCAGAAUUUUAUUGAUUAAACAUUUGUAUCCUAUUAUUAAUU